rnacentral:rRNA from 1 species
GACAGAGGGUGCAAACGUUGUUCGGAAUUACUGGGCGUAAAGCGUGUGUAGGCGGCCGAGAAAGUCGGGUGUGAAAGCCCUGGGCUCAACCCAGGAAGUGCACUCGAAACUGCCCGGCUAGAGUAUCGGAGAGGUUGGUGGAAUUCUCGGUGUAGAGGUGAAAUUCGUAGAUAUCGAGAGGAACACCGGCGGCGAAGGCGGCCAACUGGACGAAUACUGACGCUGAGGCGCGAAAGCGUGGGUAGCAAACAGG